GGGGGAUUAGCUCAGCUGGUUAGAGCGCUUGCAUGGCAUGCAAGAGGUCAUCGGUUCGAAUCCGAUAUUCUCCACCG
rnacentral:tRNA from 1 species